rnacentral:rRNA from 1 species
AUUGAACGCUGGCGGCAUGCCUUACACAUGCAAGUCGAACGGCAGCGCGGACUUCGGCUUGGCGGCGAGUGGCGAACGGGUGAGUAAUACAUCGGAACGUACCCUGUUGUGGGGGAUAACUAGUCGAAAGAUUAGCUAAUACCGCAUACGACCUGAGGGUGAAAGUGGGGGACCGCAAGGCCUCACGCAGCAGGAGCGGCCGAUGUCUGAUUAGCUAGUUGGUGGGGUAAAGGCCCACCAAGGCGACGAUCAGUAGCUGGUCUGAAAGGACGAUCGGCCACACUGGGACUGGGCCACGGCCCAGACUCCUACGGGAGGCAGCAGUGGGGAAUUUUGGACAAUGGGGGCAACCCUGAUCCAGCAAUGCCGCGUGUGUGAAGAAGGCCUUCGGGUUGUAAAGCACUUUUGUCCGGAAAGAAAUCGCGCUGGUUAAUACCUGGCGUGGAUGACGGUACCGGAAGAAUAAGCACCGGCUAACUACGUG